GGCGUGCUUAACACAUGCAAGUCGAACGGAAAGGCCCUGCUUUUGUGGGGUGCUCGAGUGGCGAACGGGUGAGUAACACGUGAGUAACCUGCCCUUGACUUUGGGAUAACUUCAGGAAACUGGGGCUAAUACCGGAUAGGAGCUCCUGCUGCAUGGUGGGGGUUGGAAAGUUUCGGCGGUUGGGGAUGGACUCGCGGCUUAUCAGCUUGUUGGUGGGGUAGUGGCUUACCAAGGCUUUGACGGGUAGCCGGCCUGAGAGGGUGACCGGCCACAUUGGGACUGAGAUACGGCCCAGACUCCUACGGGAGGCAGCAGUGUGGAAUAUUGCACAAUGGGCGGAAGCCUGAUGCAGCAACGCCGCGUGAGGGAUGACGGCCUUCGGAUUGUAAACCGCUUUCGCCUGUGACGAAGCGUGAGUGACGGUAAUGGAUGAAGAACCAUCGGCUAACUACGUGCCCAGCAGCCGCGGUGAUACGUAGGGUGCGAGCGUGUCCGGGAUUUAUGGGGCGUAAAGGGGCUCGUAGGUGGUUGAUCGCGUCGGGAAGUGUAUUCUGGGGGCUUACCCCUGAGCGUGCUUUCGAUACGGGGUGACUGAGGGAAGGUAGGGGAGAAUGGAAUUUCNUGGUGGAGCGGUGGAAUGCGCAGAUAUCAGGAGGAACACCAGUGGCGAAGGCGGUUCUCUGGGCCUUUCCUGACGCUGAGGAGCGAAAGCGUGGGGAGCGAACAGGCUUAGAUACCCUGGUAGUCCACGCUGUAAACGGUGGGUACUAGGUGUGGGGUCCAUUCCACGGGUUCCGUGCCGUAGCUAACGCUUUAAGUACCCCGCCUGGGGAGUACGGCCGCAAGGCUAAAACUCAAAGGAAUUGACGGGGCCCCGCACAAGCGGCGGAGCAUGCGGAUUAAUUCGAUGCAACGCGUAGAACCUUACCUGGGUUUGACAUGGAUCGGGAGUGCUCAGAGAUGGGUGUGCCUCUUUUGGGGUCGGUUCACAGGUGGUGCAUGGCUGUCGUCAGCUCGUGUCGUGAGAUGUUGGGUUAAGUCCCGCAACGAGCGCAACCCUUGUUCACUGUUGCCAGCACGUUAUGGUGGGGACUCAGUGGAGACCGCCGGGGUCAACUCGGAGGAAGGUGGGGAUGACGUCAAGUCAUCAUGCCCCUUAUGUCCAGGGCUUCACGCACGCUACAAUGGCUGGUACAGAGAGUGGCGAGCCUGUGAGGGUGAGCGAAUCUCGGAAAGCCGGUCUCAGUUCGGAUUGGGGUCUGCAACUCGACCUCAUGAAGUCGGAGUCGCUAGUAAUCGCAGAUCAGCAACGCUGCGGUGAAUACGUUCCCGGGGCUUGUACACACCGCCCGUCAAGUCAUGAAAGUUGGUAACACCCGAAGCCGGUGGCCUAACCGUUGUGGGGGAGCCGUCGAAGGUGGGACUGGUGAUUAGG
rnacentral:rRNA from 1 species